AGUGUGAUUUCACGCGUUGAACAAGAUGAAGUGUGCGGUAGUAUUUCUGGUUAUUGUGAUUCUUGCUGCGUCAUAUGCAGCCCCAGCAACUAACCAUGGAAAUAUUCAAGCAUCGGAAGGCGCUGUCGCUUCUGGAGUUGUCGAUGGGUCAACUUUCGGCAAUGGUGCAUUUUCUUCCGGUGGAACGUCGAACAACUGCGGCUUUCUACAAAAAAUUGUUUCCGUAGUUUGGAACGUGUGUUCGUGAUUAGAAAACUUCUGCUAAUAGCCGAAGAAAAUAGACUGAUGACUAACUUUUAAUAAAUAAUAACAAUUACAUAUAAAGUAUUCUAUAAAUCAUAUAAGUUUAAAUAUACAAGUAAUGUACGCUACUUAACUAAAUAAAUUAUUAUACUUUUA